rnacentral:rRNA from 2 species
GCGCGGCAGAGCCGCGUUUCUUAAGGCUGAUGCCUUUAUCCACGCCAUCCCCGUGGAGGGUCAUUGAUAAACUGGGAGACUUGAGUGCAAGGUAGGAAAAUGGAAUUCCAUGUGUAGCGGUGAAAUGCGUAGAGAUAUGGAGGAACACCAGUGGCGAAGGCGACUUUCUGGUCUGUAACUGACACUGAGGCGCGAAAGCGUGGGGAGCAAACAGGAUUAGAUACCCUGGUAGUCCACGCCGUAAACGAUGAGUGCUAAGUGUUAGAGGGUUUCCGCCCUUUAGUGCUGAAGUUAACGCAUUAAGCACUCCGCCUGGGGAGGACGGCCGCAAGGGUGAAACUCAAAGGGAUUGACGGGGGCCCGCACAAGCGGGGGAGCAUGGGGUUUAAUUUCAAGCAAAC